UUGUGUUAACCUAUAGGUAUUAUUACAACUUUACCAUAUAGUAUUUCAUUUGUAUUCAUACACUGCAAUGGAAAGAGUUAAUUGAAUAUACCAGCCUAUAAAUACAACUAAAUACAGACAUUUCUUUAGUUUCUUUCAAAACAAGUCAUCUUUUUCUAUAUUUGUUAUGUUACCACGCUAAAACCAUUGCUAUUGGCUGUCUCCCCACGUUGCUUUGAACAUGAUUGGAUAAUCUGCCUGUCACUCAGAGAACUGGCCAAUGAGAACUGUCCGCGCCUCGGAUUUGAAAUUACGUCUGUUUGAGCGGGAAGCCGCAGCGGGGCAGGCGCUACUCGGCAGGUCUGCUAGUGUCUGCUGUUGACCUACCUGCAUUAUUACCUGAAGUAUUUUACAUAUGCCUGCGAUUUUAACUUGUGGGAUGUCAACGGAGAAAGAAAGACUGGGACACAGAGGAAGGAUCAUACGGGAUGUGGUGACCAGCAAAGUUACGUGAAUUGAUAUCCUGCAAAAUUAUUGAAGAUAUCAGCACUGGACCCUGAGCAGUGCAUGGCCUGCAAGAUCAUGAGAAGGCUGAAGAACCAGGAGUGACAAGAUACCACUGGAUGGUGGGGCACAUAAUUCCACUCAAGGACAGUGAUCUGAAAAUGUCUGUUUACCAACGGUCCCCAUCCAACCUGACAGAGCGUGUGAGGAUCUGCAGAAAAGAAUGGCAGAACAUCCCCAAAUCCAGGGUAUUGAGUGUAGAUUGAUGAGCUCAAUAAGGAUUGGAACAACAUUGACGGGGGGAAACACCCAAAGUCCAUCACUCAUGCACCGAGGAUCUGGCUGAUUACUGGAAAUUUGGAAGAUUGUUCUUUAUCUGCACUGUCACUUCUGGUAAAUAUUUAUGAAGAAGAAAUAUACUUUAUUAAU